rnacentral:rRNA from 1 species
AGUCGACGGCAGCGCGGGGCAACCUGGCGGCGAGUGGCGAACGGGUGAGUAAUAUAUCGUAACGUACCCAAGAGUGGGGGAUAACGUAGCGAAAGUUACGCUAAUACCGCAUACGAUCUAAGGAUGAAAGCAGGGGAUCUUCGGACCUUGUGCUCCUGGAGCGGCCGAUAUCUGAUUAGCUAGUUGGUGAGGUAAAGGCUCACCAAGGCCACGAUCAGUAGCUGGUCUGAGAGGACGACCAGCCACACUGGAACUGAGACACGGUCCAGACUCCUACGGGAGGCAGCAGUGGGGAAUUUUGGACAAUGGGCGAAAGCCUGAUCCAGCAAUGCCGCGUGAGUGAAGAAGGCCUUCGGGUUGUAAAGCUCUUUUGUCAGGGAAGAAACGGUGAAGGCUAAUAUCCUUUACUAAUGACGGUACCUGAAGAAUAAGCACCGGCUAACUACGUGCCAGCAGCCGCGGUAAUACGUAGGGUGCAAGCGUUAAUCGGAAUUACUGGG